rnacentral:rRNA from 1 species
CAGCCGCCACGGUAAUACGUAGGUGGCAAGCGUUGUCCGGAAUUAUUGGGCGUAAAGGGCUCGCAGGCGGUUUCUUAAGUCUGAUGUGAAAGCCCCCGGCUCAACCGGGGAGGGUCAUUGGAAACUGGGAAACUUGAGUGCAGAAGAGGAGAGCGGAAUUCCACGUGUAGCGGUGAAAUGCGUAGAGAUGUGGAGGAACACCAGUGGCGAAGGCGACUCUCUGGUCUGUAACUGACGCUGAGGAGCGAAAGCGUGGGGAGCGAACAGGAUUAGAUACCCCUGUAGUCCCUGUCUCUUAUAC